UGGGCGACAUCAAGUUGUUCUCGGUGCAGCGUCCCGGCGCGCGGCCGGCCAUUCGGCCCUAAGGACCCAUCGAGCGACCGAGCUUGCCCUCGGACCGCGACCCCAGGUCAGUCGGGACUACCCGCUGAGUUUAAGCAUAUAAAUAAGCGGAGGAGAAGAAACUUACGAGGAUUCCCCUAGUAACGACGAGCGAACCGGGAGCAGCCCAGCUUGAGAAUCGGGCCGCCUCGCCGCCCGAAUUGUAGUCUGGAGAGGCGUCCUCAGCGACGGACCGGGCCCAAGUUCUCUAGAAAGGGACGCCUGGGAGGGUGAGAGCCCCGUCCGGCCCGGACCCUGUCGCACCACGAGGCGCCGUCAACGAGUCGGGUUGUUUGGGAAUGCAGCCCAAAUCGGGCGGUAAACUCCGUCCAAGGCUAAAUACAGGCGAGAGACCGAUAGCGAACAAGUAUUGCGAGGGAAAGAUGAAAAGGACUUUGAAAAGAGAGUCAAAGAGUGCUUGAAAUUGCCGGGAGGGAAGCGGAUGGGGGCUGGCGACACGCCCCGGCCGUAUGCGGAACGGCUCCUGCUGGUCCGCCGAUCGGCUCGGGGCGUGGACCGUUGUCGCCCGCGCCGGCGGCCAAAGCCCUGGGGCCCUAGGCGCCCCCGGCAGCCGUCGUCGGCGCGGACGGUAUCCGCGCGCCUCUGGCGCGCCCCUCGGGGCGCUGCACCGCAACGGCCUGCGAGCUCCCCAUCCGACCCGUCUUGAAACACGGACCAAGGAGUCUGACAUGCGUGCGAGUCGACGGGUUCAGAAACCUGAGAUGCGCAAGGAAGCUGACGAGCGGGAGGCCCUCAUGGGCCGCACCGCUGGCCGACCCUGAUCUUCUAUGAAGGGUUCGAGUUGGAGCACGCCUGUCGGGACCCGAAAGAUGGUGAACUAUGCCUGAGCGGGGCGAAGCCAGAGGAAACUCUGGUGGAGGCUCGAAGCGAUAUUGACGUGCAAAUCGUUCGUCUGACUUGGGUAUAGGGGCGAAAGACUAAUCGAACCAUCUAGUAGCUGGUUCCCUCCGAAGUUUCCCUCAGGAUAGCUGGAGCCCACACGAGUUCUAUCGGGUAAAGCCAAUGAUUAGAGGCAUCGGGGGCGCAACGCCCUCGACCUAUUCUCAAACUUUAAAUAGGUAGGACGGCGCGGCUGCUUCGGUGAGCCGUGCCACGGAAUCGGGAGCUCCAAGUGGGCCAUUUUUGGUAAGCAGAACUGGCGAUGCGGGAUGAACCGGAAGCCGGGUUACGGUGCCAAACUGCGCGCUAACCUAGAACCCACAAAGGGUGUUGGUCGAUUAAGACAGCAGGACGGUGGUCAUGGAAGUCGAAAUCCGCUAAGGAGUGUGUAACAACUCACCUGCCGAAUCAACUAGCCCCGAAAAUGGAUGGCGCUGAAGCGCGCGACCCACACCCGGCCAUCUGGGCGAGCGACAUGCCCCGAUGAGUAGGAGGGCGCUGCGGCCGCCGCAAAACCCGGGGCGCGAGCCCGGGCGGAGCGGCCGUCGGUGCAGAUCUUGGUGGUAGUAGCAAAUAUUCAAAUGAGAACUUUGAAGGCCGAAGAGGAGAAAGGUUCCAUGUGAACGGCACUUGCACAUGGGUAAGCCGAUCCUAAGGGACGGGGGAAACCCGACAGAUAGCGCGAUCA
rnacentral:rRNA from 1 species